rnacentral:tRNA from 1 species
UGGGCUAUUGACUCAGAGGUAGAAUGUUUGUUUUGGAUGCAGAAGGUGUCAAGUUCAAUACUUAGCUUGUCCAG